rnacentral:rRNA from 1 species
UGGCCGUAAACGAUGUGGACUUGGUGUUGGAAUGGCUCCGAGCUGCUCCAGUGCCGAAGGGAAGCUGUUAAGUCCACCGCCUGGGAAGUACGGCCGCAAGGCUGAAACUUAAAGGAAUUGGCGGGGGAGCACAACAACGGGUGGAGCCUGCGGUUUAAUUGGACUCAACGCCGGACAACUCACCGGGGACGACAGCAAUAUGUAGGCCAGGCUGAAGACCUUGCCUGAAUCGCUGAGAGGUGGUGCAUGGCGUAGACGUCU